UGGCUCUAAACUUACCACAGCAGGUCCACAAGUCCUCCCUGCCUGGCAAUGGCAGAUUUCACCCUAUUCGCAAACUGGACAGCAUCUUCAUCUGCCUGUAAGAAAGAACAAAUGAGACCACUCAGCCCCGGCUUGACGUUACACAGAGCAGGCGCAGACCUGCCUGGGGCAGGCACUCACCUCUCUAGUCAUGGGAGGCAGGUACCACACGCUGCAGACAAUGGCCCAGCUGGUCAUCAUUCGCAGCAGGUACGUCACCAUCCCGUAUUUGCUGCUGUUCCAGAAGGCAUCGCCAAAUUGAGGGUCAUACUGAAAACAAUGGAAAGCUGGAGGUAAGACAUGAGUAGUUCUCACAACGUUUGCGAGUCCACAGUGACUGCUGUGAGUGACUCCACUGGGCCGUGCUGGUACUGGGGUGCUGCUCCCUGACCUUGCAUGAGUACUGUGGAAGCCCCUCUCCAUGUGGCCGGUUCUGACUGUGAGCAACACUGAUCUCCCCCGAGGAACCCGGCCUCUGCUACAGAUCAGUAAGGAAGGCUCCCCUGACAGCCUGCCUCAAGCAAAUGUCUUCCCUCCUUGAUUAGUUUCAGGUCUUACUCAUAGGUAUAUAAAGUUUUCAAACAUCUCCAAAACCAGGGAGAAAAGGAUCAUGCACUCCCAUGUACCCAUUCCCUGAUUCAACCACCGCCAACGUUUCCCACUUGCUCCACCUGUCCCCUCUCAGCAUCCUGUCAUUCAUCUAGUGUACCUCCCCCAAAUAAAGAUAUUUUCUUACACAAACACCAACUUUUAAAUAUGAUUUCUGGUGCCCAGACCAGGGAGGAAACUAUUAGAAAGCUUCUACAUUUACACUUCCAACAAAGUCAGUCGUCUGUUCAGGAGGCGGCUCUGUGCUCACGCUGACAGCCUUGGGAGGUCUCAACCACACAGGCCUGCAUCUACCAUGAAGCAGGUAUCAGAUCCUUUCAUUAUUUCAUUGGCAUUUUGCAGAAAAUGUAGCUGCAGCUGUGACCCACAUUCUCACCAAACAAGUAGCUGGAGGGGCAGGUGAGCAGGGUAGGUAAGCUCUAGAGGAAGUUGCGCAAGGAGCAACAGGAGGACCUGGGUGCUUGAGAAUGCCUGGACAAAGUGCCUGGUGCUGCCAGCGAAUGUCUGAAGGGAUCCUGUACACAAGGCAGUAGGCUGACCUUGUGCAAACACCCAGGACCAGAGUGGAAAAAUAAAGGAGCCAGAAUUUCAAGAGUUAUGCCACACGGCCAUGCUGCCAACAACAUCAAAAAUGCCCUUUCCCUGGGAAAGCCUGAGAAGGAGCCCAGGGCAGGGUCCUGCAUGUGGGAUGGGCUAGGGUUGAACUCUAUGAUCUUAUAGGCCUUUCCAGCCUAAGUUUUAUGAUCCACAGUAUAAAUACUGGACAAUUUUGACAAGACUGUGGCCCUAACUACAAAAAUGAAGAUAACUUAGGCUUAAUUAUAGAAGCUAAGAAAAUUAGAUUUAACUACAGAAGACUUAAUGUGUUAUUAUAAUACCAACAGAAACAAGGGAAAAUAAUAAGUUUUUAAAACUAAGCAAUGUGUAUGAUCAGAAAGUAUUUUUUUAAUUUUAAUUUUAUAUAUAAUAAUAUACAUUUUGAGACAAGAGUCUCACACUGUCGCCCAGGCUGGAGUGCUGUGGCGCUAUCUCGGCUCACUGCAAGCUCCACCUCCCAGGUUCACGCCAUUCUCCUGCCCCAGCCUCCCGAGUAGCUGGGGCUGUAGGCACCUGCCACUACGCCCGGCUAAUUUUUUUGUAUUUUUAGUAGAGACGGGGUUUCACCAUAUUGGCCAGGCUUGCCUCGAACUCCUGGCCUCAAGUGAUCCACCGGCCUCAGCCUCCCAAAGUGCUGGGAUUACAGGCGUGAACCACUGCAUCUGGUCAUGUCGUUGUAUUUUAUAAAGCCUGAUAUGGACAGAAAUUCUGAUGUCACCAGAGUGUGAGAACCCUUUGUUUCGGGCUGAUUCUCUAUUCCACACUGGGCAGUGUGUGUGGACAGAGAAAAAAGGCAGAAGCUCAACACAGCGACACACUCCUCACAUCAGGUCAUGGCUGGAUUCCGGUGGAAAUAUAAGAAGAGCCUUGAAAUCGCUAAGGUUAUCCAAGUUUGAUUACCAAUAAAGAGUUCACAAAAACCAGUAAUCUGUAGACCAGAUGUUCUUAGCCAUACAUGGGCUCUACUCUGUGGACUAAAUGGAAAUGUAUCUAAAAUUUAUAAGCAUUUUACUUUGGAGAGGAGCGGAAACUCCUCAGGGUUCGUGUUCUGACAGCAGCUAAGAGCCACUGCUUCAGAACUGUGGCCGCCACAGUGUGGUCCCAACUGGCACCAUCAAUGCCACCCAGAACAUGUUAGAAUGGAAAAUCAGAAGGCCCAGCGGGGUGGCUCAGGCCUAUAAUCCCAGCACUUUGAGAGGCCAAGGCAGGCGGAUCACUUGAGUCCAGGAGUUCUAGAUCAGUCUGAGCAACGCGGGGAAACUCCGUCUCUACAAAAAUUAAAAAAUUAGCCAGGUGUGGUGGUGUGCACCUGUAAUCCCAGCUACUUGGGAGGCUGAGACACAAGAAUCACCUAAAUGUGGGAGGUCAAGGUUGCAUGAGUCAUGAUUGUGCCACUGCACUCCAGCCUGGGUGACAGACUGAGACCCUGCCUCAAAAGAAAAAGAAUAGGAAGUUCAGAAACCCUGGGUGUGGGGCCCAGCAAUCUGCAUUUAAACAAUCCCUGCAGGCAAUGCUGAUGCAGCCUAAGUUCAAGAGCUGCUGUUCUGGAGGCAGCAGUAAGGGCUUCCAUCCAGCAUCACGGUCACACUGCAAAGCACCUGUCCUCGUUUUGCCAGAAUGCAGGAUGCAGAUGCCAGUCCCCACUCCCACACCCAAGGCAGACUCUGCUAACAGACUAUGUUCCUCUUUCCUGCUGUUUCCAGACACAGCAUCCUCAGGCUCUGGUGAGUCCUAGCCUGUCAAUCAGAGUCCCCUGCAGGCAAUAUUCAUCUGCCAUCCCUGGCCUGGUCCUCUGCCUAAAUGAUAAACAGUGAGUGGCUGGUGAGCAUCGGCCUCACCAGGAGCAACACCUCUCCAGUGGCACUGGCAAGGUGAAAAGAAAGUCAGAACCAACUCUACAGAAUGCUCUGCAGACAACCCAGUCCCCUACAAAAGAAAUUCUAAGUGUGAGCCUGACUCAUAUCUGCUCACCAUUUUAUCGAGCUCUCAGGCUGCAGCCUAAAUACUUUAACCACACUGAGGAUGGCCUGUGUUUUGUAGGUGUCAUGAUGUGAGGCCUGGUGGAUGUGAAGAGGGUAAGAGCGGGGAGGAACAAUGUGCAGAUGACUAGCUAAUCACAUCCUAUAGCUCUGGGUGUCUGAAGGGUUAGAGGAGCAGUUCCUAAAGGGUCGACGUAGACUAGAUAAACUCCCAGGGUCCAUCUCAUUGUUAGGAGCUGUUGUAGGUCUAAAAGAUGACACAACUAAAAGCAGUGAAGCUGUUUCUCCCACUGGGCUGGAGUAAUGACCCCCCCCCCAAUCCUCAUGGCUCCCCCAAAAUGCAAAAAUCCAGCUUAAAACCACACCACUGUGCCCUGCAAUCAGCCAGCUUUCCAUGUGGAGGGGCCUACAUUCCAGCUAGGUUUAUGAAGCAAGGUAAUAAGUGAAGGGCUUGCCAUUUCCCGAAUGGUGGCGGCAGCAGCAUGCAGGCGGGAAUCUGGCUGUCCCCCAUUCCACACUCCCCAGGCCCUUCUAAGGGGUGCUGAGCACUCACCAUCCUCCUCCGGCAGCACUUGACCCACGUCAACCCAGCCCCACGCCACUCUGCUGAGGGCAUCGACCACAGACUGGUGACCCCAGCUCCUUCCUCUACCUCCUCCUGCUGCACCCCACUCACAGCAGCUCCAGUAAUGACAGUGUGUACCAUCGGAGGUCUUAUACCUUGAUAGCAACAGGGUAAACUGUGGCUCCAAUUUCAAAACUUCCCUUUUUGAACAUCAUCACCGAUGUAUUAUUGAUGCAGGUUCCUAAAAUGCAGGAGACAAUAAAAUGCUAUUUCUGUUGGCCCUUUACCCCAGAUAUUAGGCGUUUCUUAAAGACUAAGUAUAAUAGUCAAAAUUCUUCUAAUGGUUCCUCCAGUAAGAUACAUCUGUCAUCUCCCUAACUUAAAAACAAACACUUAACAGAGACAGGCAAGAUGGUGCCUCCGAUUCUCUUUCUACAGGACCACUUUCCCUGAUUCAUACACACAGCCUAGAUAAAGCAGAGACGCGCAGUGGCCUUAGGAGGACACCAUGAGCUCUGUGAGGAGCUGAAACAUUACAGAAGAAAUUCCUGCAUUUGGGGAGUUCACACUAUGGCAUUCUUAGUUCAAAUUCUGAACUUACCUGAGUUUUUAGUCCUACUUCCAACCUAAAGGGGACCUAACAUUAUUCAGUGAAAACAGAUAACCCCAACAAGGGCUGAGGGCCUUGGUUCCCAGGAAACAUCAGCAUCACACUCCUGCACUCCCCACAGAAGCCCUUCGUGGCAACCAACCCCUUCUUACCUUCUGGGAAGAUGAGGAUAGGCAGCUUGCUUUUAUCUUGCACAUGUUCAGUCAGUCUUUCAAAGAAGAAAAUAAAAUAAAGGGUCAGACAACCUUAUACACAUCGUCAAAAUAUGUUUAUAAAUAACCUAUUUAUUUGUGACACUAGUUUCGAUUAUAAAAAGUUAACAAGCAUAACUGUAUCCUUUUAAACCCAUAAUCUAAUGCUCAUCAAGAAAAAAUGUAUAUGGAUAGAGAAAAAUCAGGUUACCAUUUAAUUCACAGAACUGUUCAAUUCUGUGCGAACAUCGGAGCACCAAUGAUGCCACUCAACCUGGGGGCCACCUGAAAGAGACACCUGCCACAAGGCCUGGGCAUGGCCCCCUCAAUAAACCUGUGUCACUAGACUAUGUAACAGUUGUGAGGCUGGGCCCAGCCCUGCUGGCUCGAUGCUCUGUCCCUGAGAUGUAGCAAAGGGAGUUAGGGGAGAGUUCAUCUGUCUCUAUGGAAGAUAAUCUCAACUGUCUUUUCUUAUGUGUUAUUUUUUGAGACAGGGUCUCCCUGUGUUGCCCAGGCUGGAAUGCGGUGGUGCAAUCAUAGCUCACUGAAGUCUCACCCUCCCUGGCUCAAGCGAUCCUCCCACGUCAGCCUCCCAAGUAGCUGGGACUACAGAAGCGUACCACCACGCUCAGCUAAUUUUUAAAUUUUUUGUAGAGAUGGGGGUCUUCCUAUGUUGCCCAGGCUGGUCUCGAACUCCCGGGCUCUCAAAGCACUGGGAUUACAGGCCUGAGCCACCAUGUGUGGCUUGGUCUCAACUGUCUUGAUGUCUCUGUCUGCUGCAAAUCUCUUUGCAUUACUUACAGCAGAUUCACCUUCUUAAAGUUUGAAAACAGGGCAGUACUUUGUUCCACUGCCUUAGGUUUCUUUUUAUUUGUGAUAAAUGAAUUCAUUUUGAGGUUUCAAAUAGCAGUAAAAAUUCGUAUUUUGUUUAUUAUGAUGGGUACAAUGAAUUAAAAAAAGGUUAAGAAACAUUAUUAACUUGGUAAAUAAUACUAGGGUUUCUAUACUUUUUUUUUUAAGACAGAGUCUCAUUCUAUCGCCCAGGCUGGAAUGCAAUGGCGCGAUCUCAGCUCACUGCAACCUCUGUCACCCUGGUUCAAACUAUUCUCCUGCCUCAGUCUCCCUAGUAGCUGGGAUUACAGAUGCCCGUCAAUAAUUUUUGCAUUUUUAGUAUUUUGUAUUUUCACCAUGUUGGUCAGGCUAGUCUCAAACUCCUGACCUCAAGUGAUCCGCCCACCUCGGCCUCCCAAACUGCUGGGAUUACAGGCAUGAGCCACCACACCCGGCCACUUUUAAAAUUUCAUGUUUUAGGAAAAAAUUAUUAUGAAAGCAGUAUAGGCUUAUGAUAGAAGGCACGUAACUGCACUGUGGAGGGAUAACUACCCUGAAACCUUUUCAGCAUUCUAACUGGCCAAGCAGAACAGCAGUGUUCUGUCCAUUACCUCUUAGCCACCAGGUGGCGAUCCUUCACUUCCGAGCGCUCAAACCAGACGUGUGGGCAGGCCUUCACCAUGGCUCUCUGAAUCACACCCAUGAGUCCCCCGUGCACUUGACCCACCUAAGCGCAGGCACAGGACUCAUUAGUAGUGAAGCCAUCUUCACACGAAUCUCCCCACUCUAGGAAGAACCACAUCUCACAAAAUAAGCAGUCCAACUUCUCACUUCUAACGCUUGCCGGCUGAAGGUUGCUCACUGCCAAGAAACCACUACCAAGACUCCCCAAAUCUUAAACUUCUCCUUUUAAUCAGUAAUACUAGAAAUAGGUAAUUAAAAACAUAACUGAAACCCCUAAGACAAAAUACUAAAAUACUAAAGUAGCGCAAUUCCCUGUGUAAAACUGCCCCUCCCUGGGCAGAUUCUCAGAUGCCCUGGACACAGUCCUUGCCAGCAACUCCCUCUGCCCCUGCUGGUCUGCCUGACUGCCCUUGGCAUCCUCUCCAGCCACACUCACCAAUCACUCUGCCCAGGGUAUCUCCUAUCACAGUCCCACAGAGCCCCCACAGUGACAGUAAGGUGGGGGCCUGGCCCACGCAUAAAUGUGUUUAUGUGAAGGGUCCAGGAGCCUCCUAGCCCUGACCACUCUAAAGCAGGAAGUCUUGCCUCAAGAACGCACCGGAAAGAGCUCUUACCAUGGCAUAAUAGCCAUCGCUGGCCAAGAUGAUCACAUCGAUCGGUGAGGUAUGAUUGGCCACACAGAUGCCACCAUUUCUUGGUCUGUUUUCCCUGGGUUUAAAAUGUAUGCAAAGCAACCAAAAUUAGUGUGAAACAGUUCAUGUAACACACCUCUCACCUCACAUGCUUCAUCUGCUCUAACUAAAAGCUCAGAAGUGUCUUCCCAUUUGGCUAAGUAUAGGUGGGUGGUGUUUCCUGCAGCGCCAUCUCCCUUCCUAUCAAUACAAAGCGCUCUCACCUGUCAUGGUAGGUGAUGAUGGCUGUCAGCGCUCGCACGCAGAUCCGGUAACACAUUAAGUGAACAUGUUUACUCAUGAACUCCUUAAACCUGCAAUAACAGGACAAGGAUUCUGGGUUUUAUUUUACAUACAGGAAGACAGAAAGAGUUACUGACUUCAACAGCUCAGCAGUCCUUUAUAACAGCAAAGUGCUUGUAUAGACAUCAGCACCUACAGGAAAGUCCUGUGAUGCAUGAGCACCUUUAUGUUCACACAUGAGGAGAGAAAGAGGGGACAGGGAGACUCACUUACAUCCACCCAAAUCAGUGGGUGGAGAAUUCACAGCCUAGAAUCCGGCAUCCGCAGACCACAGGCGGGCUGAACUCCGUUCCCCCAGUCAACAUCCAGAGGCAGGUCCAAGGCCAGAGGCCAACCUCCUCACCCGCCCAGGCAGAAGAAAGGUUUCUAAACCCCAGAACUUCCCAAAGGGAGCAAAAUAUUCUUCACACAAACAGACAAAACCUCCCUACAUUUCAAACCAUUUUAAAAACUGUAUUGUCUCAUCACUUUAUCCACACAGUCAAAUGCUCAAAACUAAACAACAAGCUGUAAAAUCUGUUAACAUCUGAGUCUCGGACUCUACAUGUCUGUGGCUCCUCCCUUUUGUCUUCAAAAUGGGAAGAAUGUGAGGGCUGAAGGACAAAAAGAACAGUCAUAGAUCAAAAUUUAAAAAAAGUAAAGACUUUACUGCUGAUGCCGUUGUUGCCAUUGGGUUGUUAUUAUUAUUUGAGAUGGAGUCUCGCUCUGUUGCCUAGGCUGGAGUGCAGUGGUGUGAUGUUGGCUCACUGCAACCUCUGCCCCCUGGAUUCAAGGAUUCUCCUGCCUCAGCUUCCCAAGUAGCUGGGAUUACAGGCACCCGCCACCGUGCCUGGCUAACUUUUGUAUUUUUAGUAGAGACAGGUUUCGCCAUGCUGGCCAGGCUGGUCUCAAACUCCUGACCUCAGGUGAUCCACCCACCUCAGCCUCCCAAAGUGCUGGGAUUACAGGCAUGAGCCACCGUGCCUGGCCACCACUGGGUUAUUUAAUCCAUCUAAGAUUCCAUGGCUUUGGUUGUGUCCAAAGAAGUGUCCUUGCCUUCGAUAUCUGAGCACCAUUCCCAGAACUAACUGUCCUUCAGGCAUGGACUGCCACACUCUACUCACCUCCCAUUUGGCAAGUAUCCCACCACAGUUGUGCCCACCACCAGAAGGCUAAUCCCUGUGAAAGCCAGUGCUAUCCUGUAAGAAGAAGAAAAGUU
rnacentral:lncRNA from 10 species